GGGGAAUAUUGCACAAUGGGGGGAACCCUGAUGCAGCAACGCCGCGUGAGUGAAGAAGCUCUUCGGAGCGUAAAACUCUGUCCUAAGGGAAGAAGAAUGACGGUACCUUAGGAGGAAGCCCCGGCUAACUACGUGCCAGCAGCCGCGGUAACACGUAGGGGGCGAGCGUUAUCCGGAAUUACUGGGCGUAAAGCGUGCGUAGGCGGCCAUGCAAGCUUGGGGUUUAAAGCUGCGGCUUAACCGCAGUACGCCUUUAGAACUGUAUGGCUUGAGUGCAGGAGAGGAGAGUGGAAUUCCUAGUGUAGCGGUGAAAUGCGUAGAGAUUAGGAGGAACACCAGUGGCGAAGGCGACUCUCUGGACUGUAACUGACGCUCAGGCACGAAAGCGUGGGUAGCGAACA
rnacentral:rRNA from 2 species